GGCUACGUAGCUCAGUUGGUAGAGCAUCGGACUGAAAAUCCGUGUGUCACUGGUUCAAAUCCCGUCGUAGCCACCA
rnacentral:tRNA from 1 species